rnacentral:rRNA from 1 species
CCGCACAAGCGGUGGAGCAUGUGGUUAAUUCGACGCAACGCGAAGAACCUUACCUGGGCUUGACAUCCCCUGACAGUCCUGGAAACAGGAUUCUUUUCUUCGGAAACAGGGUGACAGGUGCUGCAUGGCUGUCGUCAGCUCGUGUCGUGAGAUGUUGGGUUAAGUCCCGCAACGAGCGCAACCCUUACGGUUAGUUGCCAGCGGGUUAUGCCGGGCACUCUAGCUGAACUGCCGUUGACAAAACGGAGGAAGGUGGGAUGACGUCAAAUCAUCAUGCCCUUUAUGUCCUGGGCUACACACGUGCUACAAUGGCCUGUACAGAGGGAAGCGAAAGGGUGACCUGGAGCGAAUCCCAAAAAGCAGGUCUCAGUUCGGAUUGCAGGCUGCAACCCGCCUGCAUGAAGUCGGAAUCGCUAGUAAUCGCAGGUCAGCAUACUGUGGUGAAUACGUUCCCGGGCCUU